rnacentral:rRNA from 1 species
CCUACGGGUGGCUGCAGUGGGGAAUAUUGGACAAUGGGCGAAAGCCUGAUCCAGCCAUGCCGCGUGUGUGAAGAAGGCCUUCGGGUUGUAAAGCACUUUCAGUGGGGAAGAAAGCCUUGGGGCUAAUACCCUCGAGGAAGGACAUCACCCACAGAAGAAGCACCGGCUAACUCCGUGCCAGCAGCCGCGGUAAUACGGAGGGUGCGAGCGUUAAUCGGAAUUACUGGGCGUAAAGCGCGCGUAGGCGGUCUGAUAAGCCGGUUGUGAAAGCCCCGGGCUCAACCUGGGAACGGCAUCCGGAACUGUCAGGCUAGAGUGCAGGAGAGGAAGGUAGAAUUCCCGGUGUAGCGGUGAAAUGCGUAGAGAUCGGGAGGAAUACCAGUGGCGAAGGUGGCCUUCUGGACUGACACUGACGCUGAGGUGCGAAAGCGUGGGUAGCAAACAGGAUUAGAUACCCCAGUAGUC